CACCCGGCCGGAUCCCGUGGGGGGAAUCCGCUCCGGGGCAAGGGAAGCGCCCCGCUCCGGC
rfam:Streptomyces violaceusniger Tu 4113, complete genome.